ensembl:lincRNA 1700021A07Rik RIKEN cDNA 1700021A07 gene
AUGCUAGCAUGGAGACACUCCAAGGAGCCUCUCUCCACCAUCUUCGUCCCUGAACAUCCAUCUCCCUGUGGGUUGCAAACACAAACAGGCCAAGUGGUGCCCCUGUCAGUCACUCACGGCUCUCUGGAGCUGAAGACCAAGCCUCACCUCUUUUGCUUUGCCAUCUACAUUUUUGUGCAGACAAGUUUUGAACAACAGGCUCUGUGGCGUUCACUCCAGUCCCAGCCAUUCCUGGGGAUGAAUAGACAUUUGAUGAUGCCUGGAAGUACAGUUGAAACAUUCCAUCUGACGGACCUCAACUUUUCCUGA